GCCGAGGUAGCCAAGAUGGUCACGGCGGGCGCCUGAAGAGCGUCAAAUUGAGGUUCGAGUCCUCACCUCGGCA
rfam:Microgenomates (Amesbacteria) bacterium GW2011_GWC2_47_8 TY11_C0047, whole genome shotgun sequence.